AUAAAAGAUAGAGGCGCAAAGAAAAAGAGUACUGUUUGGAGGCAUGACAGCCGAUAAAAAACAGGGAAGGGUUCUUUGCCGAAGGAAGGUGAGCGUCAUCUCACUUGUCCUGGUCAUACGUUUAACAAGCGUAUGACUGUCACGCUUGCGUGGAGCACUAUCCUUAAU
rnacentral:ncRNA from 2 species